GCAUAUCAAUAAGCGGAGGAAAAGAAACCAACAGGGAUUGCCUUAGUAACGGCGAGUGAACAGGCAAAAGCUCAGAUUUGAAAGCCUUUUUGGCAUUGUAUUCUGAAGUCAGUUUCCUGAGUAUCGAUGUCUAAGUCUCCUGGAAAGGAGCGCCAUAGAGGGUGAUAGCCCCGUACGAUAUCUCACUCAUUGUAGGAUUCUGACGUGGAGUCGAGUUGUUUGGGAAUGCAGCUCAAACGGGUGGUAUGCUCCAUCUAAAGCUAAAUAUCUGUGAGAGACCGAUAGCGAACAAGUACUGUGAAGGAAAGAUGAAAAGAACUUUGAAAAGAGAGUGAAAUAGUACGUGAAAUUGUUGAAAUGGAAGGAUAGGCCGCUAACCAUGUAGAGCCGUGUUUGGGGGGAAGACAAAAGCUGAAGAAUGUGGCUCCUCGGAGUGUUAUAGCUUCAGUCAAUAUUCCCACCCGAGCGCGAGGACCUCAGGCUCUACUAAAUGGUGGUCUAUCACCCGUCUUGAAACACGGACC
rnacentral:rRNA from 1 species